AGCACAUUUGGUGUGUUUAUUCAUACACAUUACCAUCAGCAUGGGGGUCAAACUUUACUCACGGAAGCGCAUUGGUAUGUUGCUGAAAGGAUGCUGGAGUUUCUUGAAUUUUUUUAUGAUUCAACUGUGAGUUUAUCAGGAGUUUAUUAUCCAACAUCUUGUUUAGUAGUGCAUAAUAUUGUUGAAAUUGCUACUCAUUUAAACAACUAUGAAAAUGACAAUCUUUUAAUAGAUUGUGCAGUUCCUAUGAAAUCUAAAUUCUUAAAGUAUUGGAAAGAAAUUCCUUUGUUAUACGCUUUUGCCUUUAUUUUAGAUCCUAGAGCUAAAAUUGCAGCUUUCUGUAGAGUUCUCGCAAUUCUAGGUGAUGCUCUUGGCCAUGAUUAUUCUAAUUAUUAUACUAAUGUUCGUUCUAAGUUAUUCGAAGUUUAUAGUAAAUAUGAAACAAAGUAUGGCGGAGUUCGCCUGCAACGACCUCCACUAGCACCCACAACAAGUAAGAAGACGACAACGUGGGGGGAAAUAUUUGGUGCAGGUUCUUCAUCAAGAAGUUCAGACUCUUCGUCAUGAUCGUCUACGGGCACCGGAAUUCCAACAUCCGGAGGGGAGCUAACUACCUUCAUCGACAGUGACGUUAUCAGCCACGAACAAGAAAACUUCAACAUACUGCAAUGUUUCUUCUGAGGCUGCCUUCAGUCUUACAGGAAGGAUAAUCGAAGAGAGAAGAACAAAUCUGUCAAGUGAGAUGGUUGAAAUACUCACCAUAGUAAAGGAUUGGGAACAAGCUGAAGCACGAAUGCAACACACUGCAGAAAAUACUGAGCUUGAAGAAUCAUUCCAAAAUUUGUAUCUAGAUGCUGAUGAGAACGUGUAAUUUUAAAUUUUCUGAGCUAGGUUGUACUCUUUUUUCCUUUGCUAGAAAGGUUUUUAAUGAGGCAACCUAUCAAUAAAGCUCAUUUUUAGAA